GACUCCUACGGGAGGCAGCAGUGGGGAAUCUUGCGCCAUGGGCGAAAGCCUGACGCAGCAACGCCGCGUGGGGGAUGACGGCCUUCGGGUUGUAAACCCCUUUCGGUCCCGACGAAGGCUCCUGUUGUCAGGGGUUGACGGUAGGGUCAGAAGAAGCACCGGCUAACUACGUGCCAGCAGCCGCGGUAAU
rnacentral:rRNA from 1 species